rnacentral:rRNA from 1 species
CUAACCGUAAGGUUCAUAGCCUUACCUGAAUUAACUGUGAGAGGAAGUAGUGGCUAACUCCGUGCCAGCAGCCGCGGUAAUACGGAGACUACGAGCGUUACUCGGAUUCACUGGGCGUAAAGGGAGCGCAGGCGGACUGGUGUGUUAGGUGUGAAAUCUCGGAGCUUAACUUCGAAAUUGCGCCUAAAACUAUUAGUCUAGAGUAUUGGAGAGGUAAGCGGAAUUUCCGGUGUAGCGGUAAAAUGCGUAGAUAUCGGAAGGAACACCGAAGGCGAAGGCAGCUUACUGGACAAUUACUGACGCUCAUGCUCGAAAGCGUGGGGAGCGAAAGGGAUUAGAUACCCCUGUAGUCCACGCCCUAAACGUUGUACACUAGGUAUUGGAGGAAUCAUCCCCUUCAGUGCCCAAGCAAACGCGAUAAGUGUACCGCCUGAGGACUACGACCGCAAGGUUAAAACUCAAAGAAAUUGACGGGGGCCCGCACAAGCGGUGGAGCAUGUGGCUUAAUUCGAUGCAACGCGAAGAACCUUACCUGGGUUUGACAUGUAUUGGGAUAUAGCCGAAAGGUUAUAGUAUAGCAAUAUACUGAUACACAGAUGCUGCAUGGCUGUCGUCAGCUCGUGUCGUGAGAUGUUCGGUUAAGUCCGGCAACGAGCGCAACCCUCGCCCUAUGUUACCAGCGGGUAAAGCCGGGGACUCUUAGGGGACAAACUUGAAUUCAAGUGGGAAGGUGGGGAUGACGUCAAGUCAGUAUGGCUCUUACAUCCAGGGCUGCACACGUGCUACAAUGGCCGAUACAGAGGGAAGCCAGACCGCGAGGUUGAGCGAAUCCAUAAAAUCGGUCCCAGUUCGGAUUGGAUGUCUGCAACUCGACUCCAUGAAGCCGGAAUCGCUAGUAAAGGCGUAUCAGCUACGACGCCUUGAAUACGUUCCCGGGCCUUGUACACACCGCCCGUCAAGUCAUGAAAGCCGGUUUUGCCCGAAGUCUGUGAGUUAACUCGCGAGAGAGACAGCGGCCUAAGGCAAGGCUGGUGAUUGGGACUAAGUCGUAACAAGGUAGCCGUAGGGGAACCUGCGGCUG